CCCCUCCAGUUCAGAGGGCAAGGCCACAGACAUGAAGAAGACCUGGCCUUCUCCUGGUUCUAGAAGGUUCCAGGAGACAAAAUAUCUGACUCAUUCAUUCCCAGAGACACUGACUUCCUGGACUGAGAAGGCAGAGUCUCCCCUCAAGAACCUCACCAACCAAACUCAGCACUGAUUUUUUCAGCUUUGUUCCCCGCCCCCCUCCCACCCCCAGUCAGCUCUGAGCAGCCGGCACCUUGCUCUUGCUUGGCCUAGGCCUGAGCUAAUUAAAGCCCUUAAUUAAUAGAUCAUCUGUUAUAUCUGUUUAAUCCUUUUAUGGCCCGUUUUGCCAUCCAGAGACCUUGGGGAAGAGUGCUAGAAAGAUAAAGGGCACAGCAGCUGUCCUCCGCCAUGUCCCCCUCCUGCUGGGUCCCCAAAGCCAAGGGACAGCCUUGGAAAUUGGCAGGGGGUGGGCUGAAGAACACCAAAGGGAACCUCCAAGUGGGCAGGAAGUGGGGGCUCUGGGUGUCCUAGGCCUGACUUUUCUAAAGCCUAUUUCUAAGGGUCUGAUUCCCUGAGAGCUAAAUGGAAGACAAAGUUCUGAAAGAGGAAAUUUGGCAUCUCACCUGAAGACGGAUUCCAGGUCUUGGUGGCCGGACUCUGGGAGAGAGGAAGAAAGGAAGAUUCUUACACAGCAGGGACAAAUGUCUUCUGGGUUGGGGGGAGGGGUGGCCAAGUAGAUUCUCUGACAGCUCAAACCGGUUUUCCCCAUCAGGAGUAUUUUUGCUUAAAGAAUAAAACCUUUGGGGAUUCAAAGCA